rnacentral:rRNA from 1 species
GAAAUGCGAUACGUAAUGUGAAUUGCAGAAUUCAGUGAAUCAUCGAAUCUUUGAACGCACCUUGCGCCCCUUGGAAUUCCGAGGGGCACACCCGUUUGAGUGUCGUGAACAUCCUUCAACCUUUCUUUGGUUUCUUGACCAGGGAAGGCUUGGACUUUGGGGGUCUUUCAUUGCUGGCCUCUUUGAAGCCGGCUCCUCCUAAAUGGAUUAGUGUGGUCUGCUUUGCCGAUCCUUGACGUGAUAAGAUGUUUCUACGUCUUGGGUUUCGCACAGUUGCUUCAGACCCCGCUUCUAACCGUCUUGCAUUCAAGACAGAGUUUUAAACCUUGACCUCAAAUCGGGUGAGACUACCCGCUGAACUUAA